AUUGAACGCUGGCGGCAUGCCUUACACAUGCAAGUCGAACGGUAACGCGGGGGCAACCCUGGCGACGAGUGGCGAACGGGUGAGUAAUACAUCGGGACGUACCCAGUAGUGGGGGAUAGCUCGGCGAAAGCCGGAUUAAUACCGCAUACGACCUAUGGGUGAAAGCGGGGGAUCGCAAGACCUCGCGCUAUUGGAGCGGCCGAUGUCGGAUUAGCUAGUUGGUGAGGUAAAGGCUCACCAAGGCUACGAUCCGUAGCUGGUCUGAGAGGACGACCAGCCACACUGGGACUGAGACACGGCCCAGACUCCUACGGGAGGCAGCAGUGGGGAAUUUUGGACAAUGGGCGAAAGCCUGAUCCAGCCAUGCCGCGUGUGUGAAGAAGGCCUGG
rnacentral:rRNA from 1 species